rnacentral:rRNA from 1 species
GACGAACGCUGGCGGCGUGCUUAACACAUGCAAGUCGAGCGGUAAGGCCCUUUCGGGGGUACGACGAGCGGCGAACGGGUGAGUAACACGUGGGUGACCUGCCCUUACGCUCUGGGAUAAGCCUGGGAAACUGGGUCUAAUACCGGAUAUGACUCCAUGACGCAUGUUGUGGGGUGGGAAAGCCUUGUGCGGCUAGGGAUGGGCCCGCGGCCUAUCAGCUUGUUGGUGGGGUGAUGGCCUACCAAGGCGACGACGGGUAGCCGGCCUGAGAGGGCGACCGGCCACACUGGGACGUGAGACACGGCCCAGACUCCUACGGGAGGGCAGCAGUGGGGAAGUCUUGCGCAAUGGGCGAAAGCCUGACGCAGCGACGCCGCGUGAGGGAUGACGGCCU